CCCUGGGUCACACAGCUAGGAAGCACCGGAGCUAGAGUUAAAACUGGGCAGCUUGCUUCCAGAGCCCAUGUGAUCAACUACAUACCAUCCUCGCUCUCAAAGGAGAGGCUGUUCAAAGGAGACCGCCACUCAACCUUCAGGUUUGCAGCGUUAUGCGGGAGGAGAUGGUGGAGGGGACCAUGGUGGGAGCUGGGCGCCGCCUCCCCAAACUUCUCUGUUGGGAUUGGCCCUUCCCCUCUUCUGCUUCCUGUGACGCACAGAUUUUUGCUCAGCUGAAACUUGAAUUUUAUUUGCCAACAAUAUACAGAACCUCGGGCAAGUCCUUCCCCUCUCUAGAAAGUUUCUUGACUUAGCAAACAUAAGGAAUCCCAUCCGCUGACUUCAAGGCUCUUUCCCCCUUUCCCUCCGAUCCUGUUCUCAGCCCGAGCUGUUUAGGAAAGCUAUUUAAGGCACUGUGAAAAAUACCCAUGCCUGGGCCCUCAAAUCGAUUAAAUCGGAAUGGGGUCACCAGGUGAUUCUACUGCAUAGCCUGCUGAGAACCACUGCUCCCGUCUCCCCAUCACCUUCCUGCUCAAAGCCAUAGGCCAGGAUCAUUUCUUUCUUUCCUCAAGCAAAAUAAAUCAGAGGCACUUUACUGCGAACGAUUUUAGAAGCAAUCGCUUUUUCCCAAAGUGUCUUCUAGGCAGACCGAGCCUCGAUGAGAUGUUCAGGCAGAUCCUGAGGCCCCUGUGUGGUCUGGCAGGCUGGGGGGCGGCAUGGCACAAAUUCUGGGGAAAUUUCAUGGCAAUAUAGCCCAUUCGUCUCAGCUGAACACCCACGUCAGCUGAGAGAGGUGAACUGGAGCAGAACCCUCCUCAGUCAAGUGCACCAGGUGGGGACCGGCCAGGCCUCAGAUGGAAGUAGUUCCGGAAUUUAUCAAUUCAGCAGGAUGAUUUCAUUCUGCGAAGUGUCGGCAGCUGGCAGAUUGGAGGCCUCUCACAGAGCCCACCUCUUGUAAGUAAUGGAAAAGGAGACAUUUUCCUCCACAGAGGCAGAGGGAGUCACAAGGAGCCAGGAAUUAAGCUCUGGGCUCUCUGAAGCCCAGAGACAAGUUCCCCUUACACAGACACCUACUUGUCAAGUUCAGGGACAAAGAUGAAAUAAUGAGAAGGGCCCUAGAAUUGCAGAUCAAGAGACCUGGACUCAAAGGCCAGCACUGCCCUACCCUCGCUCGGGGCAGGCGUGGCCCGGCCUCCCCGUCUCUCUGGCCUUUGUUCUCCCAGACUCUGCAAUGUGCGCAUCAGACCCGUGAGCACUGAGAUCUCCCAGCUCAGCGGCUCUGGGAUUCCUCCACCCUUGUGGGAAGGGCCUUUUCUCUCCUACCCACCCAUUCUGGAGCAACCAGCGAGCUUCGUGGACAGCUCUUACACCUGAGAAAUGUCCCCUGUGAACCUGGAGGGAAAAGUUCCCUCGAGCUUUGUUGAGCAUCUUUUCAUCGCCAGAAGCCAGCAACCCUGCAGGAGAGGGCAUGGCUCCAGCGAGGCCCCUCCCUGGGAUGCUGAGUUCCGGGCUCCAGCUGGAGGGGAAGAUUCCGAGGUUCUAGCCAGACCUUUGUUCUUACCCAGAAACCUCAGAAGCACCAGAUCUGGCAAACCCUCACCCCCAAUGCUUUAAAGCACAACACUCAAAAACACAAAAGACUUGACAGAUUUUUUGAUUGAGCAAGAAUUAAAAUAUAACCAGAACAAUUAUCCAAGAUAUGUAGCGCUUGUUUGUUUUGCAAUCAUUUUAGAUUUACAGAAGAGUUGUACGGAUGGAAGAGUUCCCUGCACCCUUCACCCAGCGGCCCUCAUGUUCACAUCUUACGUAACUAGGGUACAGUUAUAAAACUGAGGUUAACAUUGGUACACACUAUUAACUAAAUUAUAUCCUUUGUUUGGAUUUCACUAAUGUCUUUUUCCAUUCUAGCAUCCAAUCCAGGAGACCACAUCAUU
ensembl:lncRNA